rnacentral:rRNA from 1 species
UACGUAGGGGGCUAGCGUUGCUCGGAAUCACUGGGCGUAAAGCGCACGUAGGCGGCUUCUUAAGUCAGGGGUGAAAUCCUGGAGCUCAACUCCAGAACUGCCUUUGAUACUGAGGAGCUUGAGUCCGGGAGAGGUGAGUGGAACUGCGAGUGUAGAGGUGAAAUUCGUAGAUAUUCGCAAGAACACCAGUGGCGAAGGCGGCCCACUGGCCCGGUACUGACGCUGAGGUGCGAAAGCGUGGGGAGCAAACAGG